AUGGCGGAGGCCGCAAGUGCAGCUGGAGCGACGCCACUACUCCCUGGCCUCCCCGAUGAGAUCUCCAUCUGGGAGAUUCUCGUCCGCCUGCCCCCCAAACUCCUCCUCCGCUGCCGCGCCGUCUGCCCCGCCUGGCGCCGCGCCACCUCCGCCCGCGACUUCCUCCUCGCCCACCACGCCCGCCAGCCCGCCCUCCCCCUCCUCUACUGUCGCAGUGGCAAUGGCUCGUCCAUAGACAUCAUCCCCUGCGACCAUCAGGCAGCCGACGAGCUCCGGUCAGUUGCCCGACUUGAUGGCGCCCCCGGCAUCUUUCUGCAGGCCUGCUGUGACGGCCUCCUCAUCUUGGGCACAUGGAAUAAGACGGAUGAAGGCUACGCUAUGAUGGCCUCCAUCUGCAACCCGGUCACUCGGCAAUAUGCUCCCGUACACCAGCUUGAUGGCUUUACCUUCUUGGGGAUGUACCCACACUGCCCUACCGACGAGUACCGACUAUUGCUCUACCUGGCCCCGAGGUUCAAGGAUGAUGCUCAAAGUGGCUCCUACAUCUUCACGUUAGGCUCCGACCAGCCGCCGAGACACAUAGGGUGCCGUGAUGCCAAGGAAUUGCUGCAUUCCCCCAGAUCUGUCCAUUUUCAUGGUAGCCUGCAUUGGCAUACAGAGCGGCUAAUAAUGGUAUUUGACACCACCUCAGAGUCGUUCCGGCAGAUGCGCUCCCCAAUUGUUCCUGACCAUGUCAUUGGCGACCUGUUUGAGAUGAGUGACAUGCUUGGCAUGUUCAGUCUUAAUGCUGAAGAGACAAUUGUUGAUAUCUGGGUGAUGCUGGACUAUGAGAGCCAAGUCUGGGCCUCCAAAGGCCGGGUUGAGUUGCCGAUUUCAGGGAUUAGGUUGCAAUUAGAAAAGUUUGACACUUGGUUGGAUCUGGUGGCCGCAUCUUGGAACGGUGAUGACGUGCUCAUGAUGGUCAAAUUUGAAGACGACUCCCUACUUCAGAUUGACAUUGAUGGCAAGUUGGUUGCUAGUCUCCAUCGCCGACUCCUCUAUCCUACUCGACUUCGGCUCAAACAGUCUCUAGUUUCACAUACCUUCUUUCCGACUCUAGAGGGUUAUGUUGUCAAUGCUUUGCCUUUCAUCUGA
rnacentral:rRNA from 1 species